rnacentral:rRNA from 1 species
UACGUAGGGGGCUAGCGUUGUCCGGAAUCAUUGGGCGUAAAGCGCGUGUAGGCGGUUCGGUAAGUCCGCUGUGAAAGUCGGGGGCUCAACCCUCGGAUGCCGGUGGAGUACUGUCGGACUAGAGUACGGAAGAGGCGAGUGGAAUUCCUGGUGUAGCGGUGAAAUGGCGCAGAUAUCAGGAGGAACACCGAUUGCGAAGGCAGCUCGCUGGGACGUUACUGACGCUGAGACGCGAAAGCGUGGGGAGCAAACAGG